GAUGAAGAACGUAGUGAAAUGCGAUACUUGGCGUGAAUUGCAGAAUCCCGUGAACCAUCGAGUCUUUGAACGCAAGUUGCGCCCGAAGCCAUUAGGCCGAGGGCACGCCUGCCUGGGCGUCACACGUCGUUGCCCCCCCAUCUACUCCUUCGGGAUUGCGGGGGGCGGAUGAUGGCCUCCCGUGCGCCUCGUCGCGCGGUUGGCAUAAAUACCAAGUCCUCGGCGACGCACGCCACGACAAUCGGUGGUUGCGAAACCUCGGUUGCCCGUCGUGUGCGGUCGUCGCGCAUCGAGGGCUCGAAAAAAUUGCCGGGCUCCGGCUCGGCUUUCAACGCGACCCCAGGUCAGGCGGGGUUACCCGCUGAAUUUAAGCAUAUCAAUAAGCGGAGG
rnacentral:misc_RNA from 1 species